GUGCAGUGUGGUCAUCAGUUUGUACCCUCGCUGUGUCUGAUGCUCCAGAUGGUAUGUUCAGCCAUGAAGAUGGGGCGUGAUUCCUGUGGUGUGCUGAGUUCACCAGGUGAUCUGAAAACAGAGCCCUUCUCAUGGAGAUGGCGCAGAAUGGAGACACCAUACGUGUCCUUGAUUCUGGGAUGAGGUGGUGUGGCAGAGAUGUCCCAUCUGUAGCUGAGCACACCACCUCAGCUGAGGACACCACAGACAGUUACUCUCUGCACUUUGACCAGUCAUGCGUUUCUCAGUUGGUUUACUUCACAAAGAUACUUCUCUGAUGAUGUCUGAGAGCUGCACUAUGCUUUUGGUUUAGAAAUAUAAAUUUAAGGGGCUUAGUGAUUAAGAGCACUGACAGCUCUUCCAGAGGUCCUGAGUUCAAAUCCCAGCAACCACAUGGUGGCUCACAAUCAUCUGAAAUGGGAUCCAAUGCCCUAUUCUGCUGUGUCUGAAGACAGUGUACUCACAUACAUAAAUAAAAGUUUUUUAAAAAGAAAUAUAAA
rnacentral:lncRNA from 1 species